UGCGUAACGCGUAACCAACCUGCCCUUGACUGGGGGAUAGCCCGCCGAAAGGCGGAUUAAUACCGCAUAAACCAACAGUGCGGCAUCGCACAAUUGGUAAAGAUUUAUUGGUCAAGGAUGGGGUUGCGUAGCAUUAGCUAGUUGGCGGGUAACGGCCCACCAAGGCGACGAUGCUUAGGGGACCUGAGAGGGUGAUCCCCCACACUGGCACUGAGAUACGGGCCAG
rnacentral:rRNA from 1 species